CAUUACUGCUUGCUUACGGUUUCGUUCGGGCAACCGAGCGGGGCCGGGCACGCUACCCUUGCUUAUGUAUACCUAUUGUUAUUCCCUCGGCGGGGAGACCCGCCGCCGGGAUCAAUUAAACCCUUUUGUAUAAAGCAUCAAAACUUCUGAAAACAAAUUAAUAAUUACAACUUUUAACAAUGGAUCUCUUGGUUCUGGCAUCGAUGAAGAACGCAGCGAAAUGCGAUAAGUAGUGUGAAUUGCAGACUUUAGUGAAUCAUCGAAUCUUUGAACGCACAUUGCGCCCCUUGGUAUUCCAUUGGGCAUGCCUGUUCGAGCGUCAUUUACAUCCUCAAGCUCAUGCUUGGUGUUGGGCGUCUGUCCGCGCUUUCGGCGCGGACUCGCCCCAAAUCCAUUGGCAGCGGCUCCGCCGGCUUCUCGCGCAGCACAUUGCGAUCUUGAAGGCUUUCGGCGGGCUCGCGUCCAUCAAGUAACCCCCAAUUUUGACCUCGAAUCAGGUAGGGAUACCC
rnacentral:rRNA from 1 species